rnacentral:rRNA from 1 species
GAUCCUGGCUCAGGAUGAACGCUAGCUACAGGCUUAACACAUGCAAGUCGAGGGGAAACGACAUCGAAAGCUUGCUUUUGAUGGGCGUCGACCGGCGCACGGGUGAGUAACGCGUAUCCAACCUGCCCAUCACUUGGGAAUAACCUUGCGAAAGUAAGACUAAUACCCAAUGAUAUCUCUAGAAGACAUCUGAAAGAGAUUAAAGAUUUAUCGGUGAUGGAUGGGGAUGCGUU